rnacentral:tRNA from 1 species
UUAGAUGGUUUAUAUAAUUAAACCCAUAAACA